AGUGAACGCUGGCGGCAGGCCUAAUACAUGCAAGUCGAGCGAACAGACAGUAAGAGUGCGCCUCUAACGGUGGCGGCUGACGGGUGAGUAAGACGUAGAUAACCUACCUAUAAUACGUGGGGGACUACGUGAAACAGGAUCUAAUACCAGAGAAUAUGUUCAACGGGAGGAUGCAAUAGAUAAAGGGGGUUUGGCUGUUACAUAGAGAUGGAUCCGGGCCGGAUUAGCUAGUUGGUAAGGUAACGGCUCACCAAGGCAACGAUGCGUAGCCGACCUGAGAGGGUGAUCGGCCACACUGGAACUGAGACACGGUCCAGACUCCUACGGGAGGCAGCAGUAGGGAAUAUUGCGCAAUGGGCGAAAGCUUGACGCAGCCAUGCCGCGUGAGUGAUGAAGGUCUUCGGAUUGUAAAACUCUGUUAUUAGGGAAGAAAAAAUGUGUAUGUAACUCUGCACGUUUUGACGGUACCUAAUCAGAAAGCACCGGCUAACUACGUG
rnacentral:rRNA from 1 species